GCGGAUAGUUCAGCGGUAGAACGCUUGCUUUACACGCAAGAAGUCAGAGGUUCAAAUCCUCUUUCGCC
rnacentral:tRNA from 1 species